UCCAGACUCCUACGGGAGGCAGCAGUGGGGGAUAUUGCACAAUGGGGGGAACCCUGAUGCAGCGACGCCGCGUGGGUGAAGAAGCGCUUCGGCGCGUAAAGCCCUGUCAGCAGGGAAGAAAAUGACGGUACCUGAAGAAGAAGCCCCGGCUAACUACGUGCCAGCAGCCGCGGUAAUACGUAGGGGGCAAGCGUUAUCCGGAUUUACUGGGUGUAAAGGGGGCGCAGACGGCAGCGCAAGCCAGGAGUGAAAGCCCGGGGCCCAACCCCGGGACUGCUCUUGGAACUGCGCGGCUGGAGUGCAGGAGGGGCAGGCGGAAUUCCUGGUGUAGCGGUGAAAUGCGUAGAUAUCAGGAGGAACACCGGCGGCGAAGGCGGCCUGCUGGACCGUGACUGACGUUGAGGCUCGAGAGCGUGGGGAGCAAACAGGAUUAGAUACCCCUGUAC
rnacentral:rRNA from 1 species